GUGAGUAACACGUGAGUAACCUGCCCUUGACUCUGGGAUAAGCCUGGGAAACUGGGUCUAAUACCGGAUAUGACCGUCUGACGCAUGUCAGGUGGUGGAAAGCUUUUGUGGUUUUGGAUGGACUCGCGGCCUAUCAGCUUGUUGGUGGGGUAAUGGCCUACCAAGGCGACGACGGGUAGCCGGCCUGAGAGGGUGACCGGCCACACUGGGACUGAGACACGGCCCAGACUCCUACGGGAGGCAGCAGUGGGGAAUAUUGCACAAUGGGCGCAAGCCUGAUGCAGCGACGCCGCGUGAGGGAUGACGGCCUUCGGGUUGUAAACCUCUUUCAGUAGGGAAGAAGCGAAAGUGACGGUACCUGCAGAAGAAGCGCCGGCUAACUACGUGCCAGCAGCCGCGGUAAUACGUAGGGCGCAAGCGUUAUCCGGAAUUAUUGGGCGUAAAGAGCUCGUAGGCGGUUUGUCGCGUCUGCUGUGAAAGACCGGGGCUCAACUCCGGUUCUGCAGUGGGUACGGGCAGACUAGAGUGCAGUAGGGGAGACUGGAAUUCCUGGUGUAGCGGUGAAAUGCGCAGAUAUCAGGAGGAACACCGAUGGCGAAGGCAGGUCUCUGGGCUGUAACUGACGCUGAGGAGCGAAAGCAUGGGGAGCGAACAGGAUUAGAUACCCUGGUAGUCCAUGCCGUAAACGUUGGGCACUAGGUGUGGGGGACAUUCCACGUUUUCCGCGCCGUAGCUAACGCAUUAAGUGCCCCGCCUGGGGAGUACGGCCGCAAGGCUAAAACUCAAAGGAAUUGACGGGGGCCCGCACAAGCGGCGGAGCAUGCGGAUUAAUUCGAUGCAACGCGAAGAACCUUACCAAGGCUUGACAUGAACCGGUAAUACCUGGAAACAGGUGCCCCGCUUGCGGUCGGUUUACAGGUGGUGCAUGGUUGUCGUCAGCUCGUGUCGUGAGAUGUUGGGUUAAGUCCCGCAACGAGCGCAACCCUCGUUCUAUGUUGCCAGCGCGUUAUGGCGGGGACUCAUAGGAGACUGCCGGGGUCAACUCGGAGGAAGGUGGGGACGACGUCAAAUCAUCAUGCCCCUUAUGUCUUGGGCUUCACGCAUGCUACAAUGGCCGGUACAAAGGGUUGCGAUACUGUGAGGUGGAGCUAAUCCCAAAAAGCCGGUCUCAGUUCGGAUUGGGGUCUGCAACUCGACCCCAUGAAGUCGGAGUCGCUAGUAAUCGCAGAUCAGCAACGCUGCGGUGAAUACGUUCCCGGGCCUUGUACACACCGC
rnacentral:rRNA from 2 species